AGUGUAUGUUUAUCUGUUUCUAAUAGAAAAAUACUUUGACUUAAUAACUUCAAAAGUAUUUUGCUAGUACACUGUUUAAGGUAUAGACUAGACUAUGGCAUUUGGAAUGUAUUUUUGUCUUGAAAGAGAUUGAUGAGAACUAAAUACAUCCAAGUAAACACUAGUGCUCAUUAUCAGGAGGCUUCAGUCCCCAGCACUGAGGUGACACUGUAGCUGCUCUGUGCUUCAUUCCUGGUGUGCAUGGCUAAUAGGCUUUUAAAAAAAAAUAAUUAUAGGAUUUUUAAAAAAUAAUUAUGGGAGAAGAUUUUAAUCAAGAUUAAAAUGAAUCAAGUUUGAGAAUAUUUGCCUAUGACAAAGUAAUUUUCUUUCCAUAUCUAACUCAAAAUAAAUAAAGGAAUUAUCAUCAAGAAUAGUUCCAAAAGAUUGAAUAGUGUUAGCUGGGCGGUGGUGAUGCACGCCUUUAAUCCAAGCACUCAGGAGGCAGAGGCAAGCAGAUCUGUGUGAAUUUGAGGCCACCCUGGUCUAUGAGAGCUAGUUCUAGGACAGCCAGAGCUGUUACACAGAGAAACCCUGUCUCAAAAAAACAAAAAAACAAACAAACAAAAAAAAAAGAUUGAAUAGUCUUAACAUAGUUUCCCUCGUAGCUUUUUCAGAGGAAGAAACCCAUGUGAAUUAAUAAGUUUUGCUAUAUUUUUUAGAAAACCAGCCUUAAAAUAGUUUUUAAAAUUAUCUAUUAAAAUUAUAGUCCAGUGUUUUUAUGCAUAACUUUUAUUAAGUAGUUUUAGUUUUAAACCUAGUCUAAUAGGCGUGCUGUGUAUAUUUUUGUUCUAUUAUAUACAGCACUUAAAUUAGAUUUAAAUUCUAACAGUUUGAAAAAUAGUAUAAGUGAGUGUGAGUUUGUUAGAGGAAUUAACAUUUUAAUUUGAACUUAGGGAUGUGUUUUGUUAAGAGGGACUUCCCACCACAACCACAAUCAUUUUAUAAUAAACAUAUAGUUACAAUACUAGUGAUGUCAAUAGUUUUCUUUGGAGAAAGAAAGGUUGAAAAUUGCUCUGUGGUGAAAUUGGUGCUUUGUAUUAGCUACCGCUAGGGAAGGGCUAGCUUUGAUAAGAUAUUAAAUGCAAAUUCACUCUCAUUUCCAUGUCUCCGUUUAUCAUGACAUCAUUACACAGUGUGAUUCCCCUUAAGCACGCUAUCUGUAAAAUUAAAAUUUAUAAAAGAAUGCUGUAGAUAGCAAGAGACCCUACUGGUUUCUAGUUGUUAAGAUAAAUGAAUUCGUUUGAAUUUACUUUAAGAUACAAAUUUUAUAAUUAGGAAAGUCUUAACAAGAAUCAUUGCGAAAAAAUAUCUAGAGUAGAAAAAAUCUUUGAUGAUUAUGGAAUAAGAAUAAUAUUACCAGGCUCCAACACAAACAUUUAUUUAACAACCAUUAUGAUGCUUCUUUAUGAUGGCUGCUUUUCAACCUAGAAAAGUGCCGGAAAGCACACAGAUCUAGCUGUACCUGCCCUUUGGUGUUACUGACGUGUGGCUCCACUAAAUAGAGUCGUCUUCUGAGAAGUGAUUCUUCUUGAUACAUCUGAAAAACUUGUUGGCAGUUGAUAUAGCCAUGAAAUUUCAUGUUCAGAAUUAAAAGAUGAUACAGGUGGUAUAACCCAGCAAUUUAUGUAAAGGUUUUUAGAAUUACUACAUUGUACAAUCAGAUUUAUCUGUAGACAAAUAAUGAAGGUAUUAGCCCAGACAAAAAUCUGUUACUAUUUUCCCAAUAGUUCAUUCUUUUCAUUCUGUUUCAGACAUUAUUGCCGUAAGUCUGAAUUACUUUUUGCCCUGUCUUUCAAGUAAAUGAAAAUGAUACAGACUACUGCAAGUUUAGUUUUGCUUUUUAUUUACUUAUUUUUUUUUUUGCUUUUUUUCUGAUAUUUUUCUUGGUGUUGAGUUGGCAAGUACCCUAAAUAUUGUUUAAUUUCACUGUUUGUUUUGUUUUUUAAUGUGUAUUAUUUUGUGACUGCCCAUUACUGUCCUAGUGAGGUCUGGGAGCCAGGUUUAUUCCACUUUCUAAAAUGUGUCCUUUACUGUUUUCCUGUUCUCGCUCUUUUAAUUCUCUAUGUGAGAUGUACUCUAAUACGAAGUUCAUUAAUAGUGCAAAAAAUUUCUGCUACCCUCAGUUCACAAAUUUUUAGAUUAAACUUUUUGAUGAUUUAGCUCAAUCAGUAAAAAAGUUUUUGACCUACCUGUGUCUAGUAUUGGCUAAUUUCUGUACUGGUUACUGUAUUGAAGAAAGGUAAAACAGCAUCACAGGUGUUUCCCAAAAUAUGCCAGCCUAGUGAAAAAGGAAAUGAACAGCUUGUUGAUGCAGUAGGACUUGUGUAAGAGUGUGACCUCACUAGAGACUGCUGCCCUGGAUUCUGUUUCCUGCAUCACAAAAUAAAUAGUAAUAAAGUAAAAUAAGCCAGACAUAGAUACACCUCUAAUCCCAGUACUUGGGACUUGGGAGUUAGAGUUCCCUCUGCUACAUAGUGACGUUGAGGCUGGCAUGGGGUGAAUGAGAAAUGUUUUUCUUAAAAAAAAAAAAGUAAAUAAGUUUGCCAGAGAAUCAAGAAAAAACUUGGAUUAGUGCAUCUAAAUUAUAUUUGGUAACUUAAUAUUAGCUUUUUAAAUUUUUAAUGAGAAAAAACGCUGUUUUUAGUGUUUUCUAGCAUUUAAAGGAAUCUGAGAAAACGGUCCUUCAGGUAAUUCACAUAGCGUAUGUUCUCUCCGUGGACAUAAGUAUUGCCACAGCCAUCUAAAUAUUUGCCCUGUAAUCCUAGUAGAUUAGAACACUGUCCGCACCCGUAACUUUACCUAUACACAUUUGUGUUUUCAGUUUUUUAGAAUUACAGGGACUGUGUGACUUUCAUAGUAUGAGGAAGAUCUGACUGAGAACUGAAACAGGAAAUGGUUAGAGAUGCCAAAAAUACACAGCAUAGAAAUGAGGUUUAAUAGGAAGUUUGUUGGUAUGAAGUAGGCAUUUAUAGAUAAAAAUUUAAUUGUGUUAGUUAAUUUGUAAUUUUUAAAGAGGUAUGUUUCCCCCAAACAAGUCUGGUUUGAAAUAAAAUACCAACUGGUUUUUAUUUUGAAAAUUCUUUAUCUUUUGGUAGGCACCGUUAUAUGAAAUAUGUAGAAAAACAAAUACAGUUUGUUUUUUCUAGAAAGAACAGCAGCUCUCUUAACGCCUGUUGAGCAUGUGCUUUAUUGUACAGAAGUAACUUGUUCCGGUGUGUUCAUAGAUAUAAUGUGUUCUUUGUCUCCCACCUAUGCACUUAAGCAACUAAACUCCGCCCGCCUUGAAGGAGAUAGCAUUAUGGUAAAUUUCUCUUACAUGCUCAACUUCCUGCAUGUAAAAUGGCUGAAGAUUUGGGCAGAGGAAGUGACAAAAGUAAGUAAAAUUUUAAACUACAGAAUCAUGAAACAAGAGUUUAAUUGACAAUCAUUCAAUAAAUGUUAAAUGGGCACGAGCUUUGGAGUCACUCACAAUUAUGAACUAUGUUGCAAUUCUUUUAAAAUUGGAAAAUUAAGGAAAUUAUCAAGUUUGUUUACUAUUAGCAGUUUCAUACAACAGUGGAAUUGAGCUCCAAAGAUGCUGUAUAUACCAUGGGGAAUCCUAGACAACAGUUAAGCAAGUGGCACCAUAUUAAUGCUUUGCUAGAAGACAGGUGAAAUACUUGAUUUAUUCAUUGACAAUUAUUUUUACAAAUGUAAAGAAUACUGAAUGUUGUGACCACCUGUCUUCAGAGAACUGGGUUUUAGGGAAGUAAAGGUAGUUCUCUUGAGCACCAAAAUGAAAUUUUCUUUCACUUUAGUAGAAAAUGUAAAGUAAAUUUUAUACCUGUAAAAUGUAUAGUUCAUACCUGCAUAAAACACAGCAUAACAAGUAAUUUUAUUUAUAAUCAACAUCAUAAUUAAUCAUAAUUACAUUUUCAUCAUUGUACAAUGUGACAGAUCUUUUGGGUUUUUUUUGUCUUCUCCCUUAGUGUCAUACUGCUACUUGUAAAAGCUCACCAGUCUGCCUGUUGUCAGCUGCCCCUCUGCCUCUGUUACCAUCUCUCACUUUCUUUUGGCUGGGAAAUAAAGUUUUAAUUUAAGAAAUUAAAUAGGAAAAGUAUAAUUUUAGUGCAGAUUCAUUUCCAAACUUAGUUGGGGUUUUCAGACAUUUGUCCUUGACUUCUGGUUCUCAGACUUACCAAAGUCUGCAUUCCAAAUGAGGAUAAUGUUAGUAAUUGAGGGUGGGUACUUACUGUGGCCUCAGAUAUUUACAUAGCUUGGUGAGCCUUGACUUUUAUUCUAUCACUUAGAAAAUUGCUGAUUCUACAGUGUUUCAUGCAUAGUUUGUUGUACUAUUGAUUGUGUGGCUUGGCAGUGCAGUGUGAAAUGCUUGACUUAAGAUCUCAUCUUCCUGUGUGGAAUCUUAAUCAGCCUAGUGUGGUCCCACCAUGGCUUCUGAGUUCUUUUGAACCUCCAGCAUGAAAAGAAGGCAGAAUAACAUGUGAGAGAAUAUAAGUUGAACCAUAAAAUUGGGCUGUAAUAAAAAUACUAUGACCAAAAGCCACCUAAGGUAGAAAGUUUAUUUUGACUUACAGUUCGAGAGGGAGAGUCCAUCAUGGCAGGGAAGGCAUGGCAGGGCAAUAGGAGUAGGAAGCUGGCUGAUCACAUUUUCAACCGUUCCUA